rnacentral:rRNA from 1 species
GUGGGGAAUCUUCCACAAUGGACGAAAGUCUGAUGGAGCAACGCCGCGUGAGUGAAGAAGGGUUUCGGCUCGUAAAGCUCUGUUGUCGGGGACGAAUGUGCAGUAUUUGAAUAAAGUACUGUAAUGACGGUACCUGACGAGGAAGCCACGGCUAACUACGUGCCAGCAGCCGCGGUAAUACGUAGGUGGCAAGCGUUGUCCGGAAUUAUUGGGCGUAAAGGGAGCGCAGGCGGGAAGGUAAGUCGGUCUUAAAAGUGCGGGGCUCAACCCCGUUAUGGGAUCGAAACUAUCUUUCUUGAGUGCAGGAGAGGAAAGUGGAAUUCCUAGUGUAGCGGUGAAAUGCGUAGAUAUUAGGAGGAACACCAGUGGCGAAGGCGACUUUCUGGACGAUGUCUGACGCUGAGGCGCGAAAGCUAGGGGAGCGAACGGGAUUAGAAACCCGAGUAGUCC